UACGGAGGGUGCAAGCGUUAAUCGGAAUUACUGGGCGUAAAGCGUGCGCAGGCGGUGAUGUAAGACAGAUGUGAAAUCCCCGGGCUCAACUUGGGAACUGCAUUUGUGACUGCAUCGCUGGAGUGCGGCAGAGGGGGAUGGAAUUCCGCGUGUAGCAGUGAAAUGCGUAGAUAUGCGGAGGAACACCGAUGGCGAAGGCAAUCCCUGGGCCUGCACUG
rnacentral:rRNA from 1 species